ensembl:rRNA 5S_rRNA 5S ribosomal RNA
GGUCCUCAGCAUACCACUCUGAAUGCGCCAGAUCUCAUAUGAUCUUGGAAGCUAAGAAGGAACAGGCCUGAUUAGUGCUUGGAUGGGAGAAACAGAAAUGGAAUGAAUCUGAAUGUGAGGGGAAGUGGGAAGGACCU